UGAACACGUACAGCAGGCUUGUGUAUCUGACGGCAAAAGGGUUAUUGUCAGAUUAAAGUUGUAUCUUUAGGGUUUUGUUUGAAAAAUUGAUAAAUUAAAAAUCAAAAGAUUCUCGAUUGCAGCAAAAGGCUGACGGAGUUAAAAAGUUAACAGAGUUAAAAGUUACUGCAAUUUUAAGGCUAAAAAUAAAUUAUUACACGUGUCUUAUUUCUAUUGGUGGGUACACGAGCCAGCUUGUGUACCGGGUACCUACAAAAAUUUCUCCAAAACUUGGGGUCUUGCAUGUUUAAUAAUUCAAAAUCAUGAGAUAAGUUAGAAAAAUUGCCUGCACAAAAUUGUAAAGAGGUUGUCAAUUAACAAGUCAAAUAAAAAAAGGGUUUCCUUUUGGUUUGAAUUCACUAAACUACUUUGGUUUGUGAUGGCAUCUCUUUGGACCACCAGGAAUCUCACCAUGGCUGAUGCCCCAAAUCCAUUUCAACUCCCCAAUAUUACCAAGUUUAAGAUUGCUCUCUGUCAGUUGUCAGUUACUUCAGACAAGAGCCAGAAUCUUGAUCGUGCCUCUCGUUUGAUAAGAUUUUCUGUCGAGCAAGGUGCAAAGCUGCUUGUUUUACCAGAAAUGUGGAACUGUCCUUAUUCAAGUGAUUAUUUUGCAAAAUAUGCUGAGGAUUUUGACAAUAGAGAUGCCUCGCCAACAUUGUCCAUGUUAUCUGAAGCUGCUUGUUGCCAUGGGAUCACAAUCAUAGGAGGAUCUUUGCCUGAAUGGGAUCAUGGUCGGUUGUACAAUACUUGCUGCAUAUUUGGACCAGAUGGAAAGCUGAAAGCUAAGCACAGGAAGGAAAAUACAUCUGUUUGACAUUGACAUUCCAGGAGAGAUUUCAUUCAAGGAAUCUGACACCUUCACUGCAGGGGAUCAACCUACCAUUGUGGACACAGAAGUUGGUCGAAUCGGAAUAGGAAUUUGUCAUGAUAUACGAUUUCCUGAACUUGCUGCAUUAUACAGGAAAAGAGGGGUUGACAUCAUAUGCAAUCCUGGGGCAUUCAACGUGAGCACUGGUGAAUUGUUGUGGGAGCUGGUACAGAGAGCUAGGGCCGUUGAUAACCAGUUAUUUGUGGCAACUUGCUCACCCGCUCGAAACUCUACCGGUUCUUAUGCAACUUGGGGCCAUUCCACUCUAGUUGGACCGUCUGGAGAGAUAAUUGUUACUUCAGGGCAUGAGGAAACUACUGUCAUUGCGGAGAUUGAUUACUCUAAUAUUCAGCUCCAAAGAAAGAGUCUCCCACUUGAUGAUCAAAAGCGAGAAGACAUCUACAAGUGUAUCGAUGCACAUGAAUUAAAUCCUUGAAGGAUGGAAACUCGUCAUAACACUAGCUUCGCCACAAGAACUGCAAAACUCAAGAAUAACUCUGUUUUGUGCAGAAAAUUGUUUGGUGGCAUCUACCACUUGAGUUAGAAACAUGUGUUUAAAAUAUGUUCCCCACAUGUUAUGUUAUGGGAAACUGUCAAGUUGGAACAGAGGUCCAUAUAUACAUACAUGUGAGCUAAACUGGCAAUCUAGUAUUAUAAAACGCCAAACGUUUUUUUAAAUAAAUAGU